rnacentral:tRNA from 1 species
GGGGAGACGGCUCAAUGGGCAAAGCGCUUGCUCUGAAAGCAUGAGGGCCUGAGUUUGAGUCUCUAGUUCCCCA